CCCGCUCAGAACUUAAAUGAAUUGACGGGGCCCGCACAAGCGGUGGAGUAUGUGGUUUAAUUCGAUGCAACGCGAAGAACCUUACCUGGUCUUGACAUCCCGGAGACCCUUAGGAAACUAGGGGUGCUUCCAUCUGGAAGAAUCUGGAGACAGGUGCUGCAUGGCUGUCGUCAGCUCGUGUCGUGAGAUGUUGGGUUAAGUCCCGCAACGAGCGCAACCCUUGCCCUUAGUUGCCAGCAGUUCGGCUGGGCACUCUAAAGGGACUGCCGGUGUUAAACCGGAGGAAGGUGGGGAUGACGUCAAGUCCUCAUGGCCUUUAUGACCAGGGCUACACACGUACUACAAUGGCCGAUACAAAGGGCAGCGACACUGCGAGGUGAAGCCAAUCCCGUAAAAUCGGUCUCAGUCCGGAUUGGAGUCUGCAACUCGACUCCAUGAAGUUGGAAUCGCUAGUAAUCGUGGAUCAGCAUGCCACGGUGAAUACGUUCCCGGGCCUU
rnacentral:rRNA from 1 species